GCCUAGGUGGUGUACCGGCAGCAUAAGGGAUUGUGGCUCCCUUGAAGGGGGUUCAAUUCCCCCCCUGGGCC
rnacentral:tRNA from 1 species